AGUGUUUCACCGAUGGGUCACUGAUGAGUCAGUUUGACUCACAUCUCUCCUCCGUCAAUGAGCUUGAUGAGCGCAUGAAAUGGAACCAUGAGAAAAACACUGCAAGAGAAGGCUUCUGAAAAGAAAUGAAAAGAGGGAGGAGGAGGAGAAGAAGAAGAACUCGGACUAAAUUACCUCCUCUGUGGAUGUGGCUGUUCUUCUGUUCAUGCUUUGCUUCAUUCUGCAGCAACCUUUCUUCUUGUAGCUGAAGCUUCAAAUUGGCGCUGCUGGCAGAUUUGAUGAAAACAUUCUCCACAACUUUUCCAGCACCAAACUCCAGACAAACACAUUCGACUGGAGAGAAUGAUAAGGUCUGGGGAGUUGCAGCCCCAGUGAGCUGGAGGAACAUAACUCAGAAGGUCAUACAGUACGGAGGCCCCGGCAAAUCCCUGUGGUCUGUUAAUCAACAUGGAAGAUAAACAGAAGAUGCCCAGGGAAGGUAAUGCAUCAUGCAUGAAGGUCUCUCCGACCACAGUUUGCAACAGUGCAGAUGUUUGAAGGCGGGA